AUGUUCAUAACCCUUUGUUGUCCAGACUCUGUUGCCUCCGGGGCGACCCUGCCUUCGGGCGGGGGCUCCGGGUGGACACUUCAAACUCUUGCGUAACUUUGCAGUCUGAGUAAACUUAAUUAAUAAAUUAAAACUUUUAACAACGGAUCUCUUGGUUCUGGCAUCGAUGAAGAACGCAGCGAAAUGCGAUAAGUAAUGUGAAUUGCAGAAUUCAGUGAAUCAUCGAAUCUUUGAACGCACAUUGCGCCCCCUGGUAUUCCGGGGGGCAUGCCUGUUCGAGCGUCAUUUCACCACUCAAGCCUCGCUUGGUAUUGGGCAUCGCGGUCCGCCGCGUGCCUCAAAUCGACCGGCUGGGUCUUCUGUCCCCUAAGCGUUGUGGAAACUAUUCGCUAAAGGGUGUUCGGGAGGCUACGCCGUAAAACAACCCCAUUUCUAAGGUUGACCUCGGAUCAGGUAGGGAUACCCGCUGAACUUAAGCAUAUCAAUAAGCCGGAGGAAA
rnacentral:misc_RNA from 1 species